UACGGAGGGGGCUAGCGUUGUUCGGAAUUACUGGGCGUAAAGCGCACGUAGGCGGACUGUUAAGUCGGGGGUGAAAUCCUGGGGCUCAACCUCAGAAUUGCCUCCGAUACUGGCAGUCUCGAGUGCGGGAGAGGUGAGUGGAAUUCCCAGUGUAGAGGUGAAAUUCGUAGAUAUUGGGAAGAACACCAGUGGCGAAGGCGGCCUGCUGGGCAGUUUCUGACACUGAGGCGCGACAGCGUGGGGAGCAAACAGG
rnacentral:rRNA from 1 species